ensembl:lincRNA
AUGCAUCCACAAGGAAUUUUAUAUCACACACAAAUGUACAAGGAAGAACUCUGUGCUAGGUUCUGGGUUAAAGGCUUCAAAGUCAAAGUUGAUCAAGGCAAAAGUAGUCUUUAUCUAAAGAGAGCUAGAAGUCUAGUGCUCACAAACUCAUGGCCCCAGGAGGCAGGAGAUUUGAUACUAGGACUAGGUGGUCAUAUUGGAAUCUGGGCAGCACAGGCCUUACCACUGAGAGCAGCCUUUCCUCUACUUCACCCAUACUAUAAAGCAAGCCAGUUGGCCAUGUUUUCAAGAGAGUCAGUAGUUUGGAUUAUUUAUGUACAAUCUACUGAUUUUAAUGUUAACCACUUUUUUUUUUUUUCCAGAAAAAAAAAGAGGGAGCAAAAUCUCCCCAGCAAUGUGCUGGAAUCAGCCUUCAGUCUCUGCACUUUUUUGUUUCUGGCCUACAGUUGGGAGUGCAGUGCUGACAGAGAGGAAUUUAAUUCAUGUUGGCUGAUUUGAAAAGAGUCUGAAUGCAUACUAAACAUGCUGACUCAUUGGAAUAGACCCUGAUAUUAGGAAAGAUUGAAGGCAAGAGGAGAAGCGGAAGACAGAGGAUGAGAUGGUUGGAUUGCAUCACCAAAUCGAUGGACAUGAGCUUGAGAAGGCUCCAGGAGUUGAUGAUGGAUAGGGAAGCUUGGUAUACUGCAGUCUAUGGCAUUGAAAAGAGACAGACCCAACUGAAGGACUGAAAUGAACUGAACAAACUGAGAACAAAGACUAAUAAAUCUAAUUGCAUCAAGUUGUUGACUAACUACAUAUAAUGACACAUUACUUAAGUGGCUUUAAAAUUCACUUAUGACUCUACAUUCAGAGUAGAAUAACUUCUAAAGGAAAAACAAAAAUCCUGCCCAUCAAAAAACAAAACCAAAGAAAACCAAAAGAAAAAAAAAAAAAAAAAAGGAAAGAAAUCUGACACUGUAUUCAAUAACUUCAGUUCAGUUCAGUUCAGUUGCUCAGUUGUGAUCAGCUCUUUGUGAGCCCAUGAACGGCAGGACGCAAGGCCUCGUUGUCCAUCACCAACUCCUGGAGUCCACACAUACUCAUGUCCAUUGAGUUGGUGAUGCCACCCAACCAUCUUAUCCUCUGUCAUCCCCUUCUCCUCCUGCCCUCCAUCUUUCCUAACAUCAGGGUCUUUUCAAAUGAGUCAGCUCUUCACAUCAGGUGGCCAAAAUAUUGGAGUUUCAGCUUCAAUAUCAGUCUUUCCAGUGAACAUUCAGGACUGAUUUCCUUUAGGAUGGACUGGGUCGAUCUCCUUGCAGUUCAAAAGCAUCAAUUCUUCGGGGUUCAGCUUUCUUUAUAGUCCAACUCUCACAUCUAUACAUGACCACUGGAGAAACCAUAGCCUUGACUACAUGGACCUUUGUUGACAUAGUAAUGUUUCUGCUUUUCAAUAUGCUGUCUAGGUUGGUAAUAACUUACCUUCCAAGGAGUAAGCGCCUUUUAAAUUCAUGGCUGCAAUCACCAUCUGCAGUGAUUUUGGAGCCCCCAAAUAUAAAGUCAGCCGCUCUUUCCCCAUCUAUUUCCCAUGAAGUGAGGGGACCAGAUGCCAUGAUCCUCGUUUUCAGAAUGUUGAGCUUAAAACCAACUUUUUCACUCUCCUCUUUUACUUUCAUCAAAAGGUUUUUUAGGUCCUCCUCACUUUCUGCCAUAAGGGUGGUGUCAUCUGCAUAUCUGAGGUUAUUGAUAUUUCUCCCGGCAAUCUUGAUUCCAGCUUGUGCUUCUUCGAGCUCAGUGUUUCUCAUUAUGUAUUCUGUAUAUAAGUUAAAUAAGCAGGGUGACAAUACACAGCCUUGAUGUACUCCUUUUCCUAUUUGGAACCAGUCUGUUGUUCCAUGUCCAGUUCUAACUGUUGCUUCCUGACCUGCAUACAAGUUUCUCAAGAGGCAGGUCAAGUGGUCUGGUAUUCUCAUCUCUUUCAGAACUUUCCACAUUUUAUUGUGAUCUACACAGUCAAAGGCUUUGGCAUAGUCAAUAAAGCAGAAAUAGAUGUUUUUCUGGAACUCUCUUGCUUUUUCCAUGAUCCAGCAGAUGUUGGCAAUUUGAUCUCUGGUUCCUCUGCCUUUUCUAAAACCAGCUUGAACAUC